rnacentral:misc_RNA from 1 species
CUAGAAUUGAUCCUCCUAAUUCUCAAGGCUCAGUCAAAUAUCAGCGUGUCCAGGAGGAGGAGCAUAACAUUGUUUCUGAAAAGAAUGAUGAGAAAUUGUCAACUUUUGUGUAUGCAAGGACUGGUGCUCAGGUAUCUAGAAUUGAUCCUCCUAAUUCUCAAGGCCCAGCCAAGUAUCAGCAUGUCCACGAGGAGGAGCAUAACAUUGGUUCUGGGAAGAAUGAUGAGAAGUUGUCAAAUUUUGUGUUUGCAAGGACUGCUGCAGACAUAUUGAAAGAUGAAAAUAUGACCCAGGCUAUAAAAAA